rnacentral:rRNA from 1 species
AGCUAAUAGAUACCCUGGUAGUCCCAGCAGUAAACGGUGCGCGUUUGGUGUGAGGUGGUUCGACCCUCCUCGCGCCGGAGCUAAACGCGUUAAACGCGCCGCCUGGGAAGUACGAUCGCAAGAUUAAAACUCAAAGAAAUUGACGGGGGCCCGCACAAGCGGUGGAGUAUGUGGCUUAAAUUCGAUGCAACGCGAAGAACCUUACCUGGGUUUGACAUGCAUCUCUAAGGAGGUGAAAGCUUCCGAGGGUAGCAAUACCCGAUUUGCACAGGUGCUGCAUGGCUGUCGUCAGCUCGUGUCGUGAGAUGUUGGGUUAAGUCCCGCAACGAGCGCAACCCUUGUAUGCUGUUGCUAUGCUUACGCAUAGCUCUCUGCGUAGACUGCCCCGUGAAACGGGGAGAAGGUGGGGAUGACGUCAAGUCAGCAUGGCCCUUACACCCAGGGGCUGCACACGUACUACAAUGCUCAGUACAAUUAGAACCUGCCCCGCGAGGGUUGGGAAAUCAGCGAAAACUGAGCUCAGUUC